CAAGGCAGAAUACCAUGCUCCAAAUCAUGCAUGUACAUAGUGUAGGUGCACUUAACACACAAGCACACACGCAUGAAUGCCAUGCUCCAAAUCAUGCAUGUACAUAGUGUAGGUGCACUUACACACAAGCACACAGCAUGAAUGGCAUACAAGUGAGCAGGAGUCACGUGUGAACAUGUGAACAGUGUGAACAGCCACACAAUGCAUAAUGCCCACAUGCACACUCCACACAUACAAUGUAUCAGUCAUCUUACACACACCGCACAGUAUCAUGGCAGAUUGCACUUAGAGAAGUGGGUGAGUUACUUCCUGCAUAAUAACCAUUACAGUGGUCAUUCUUAGUCACACACUUAACUACACACACUGCAGCUCACAAUGUAAAAACACUGGUGGAGGUGAAUUCUAGCCUUUUCUGGGCAUGGGGAGAGCUCACGUUCCUUCCCUCAGGCCAAGCCCAGCUCCUGUAAAUGUGCAGCCUUUCUUCACCCUGUCAGAAGUCUGAGGUCCCAAGACUGCCAACCGGAAGAAUCAGAGAGAGACUCUCCAGGUGCCAUAGGAACAUUGAGGAUCCUCCUGAGAGCGCCUCUGCGGGGCAAACCCAGAGGUGCAGGCUGUCUGCAGGCCUUUCGCAGGCCUUGGUUCUGCACAAGAGCACUGUCAUGUUCACCUUAAAUUGGCACCAUACUCCACACAUCUAAGCUACAUUUUCAGGAAGGUGGAGAUUCAAACGGAACCAACUAAGUUGGUCUCAGAAAACCCCCUCGGCCUCCACAGGGCACAUGGCAGUGGAGUGUUACCACUCGGGACCCGUAGCUAUCAAGAAGACUGGCCUGAAAGGUGACCACGGAAAACUAGAAAAGAGUCCCACUUCCUCUCAUGCGCUAGGAGCAUCUUCUACUCCACAGUCAAAUAUGUGAGCUCCACAUCUGAAUAUAAACUCAGAAAACCUCA